rnacentral:rRNA from 1 species
GGGUGCGAUCAUACCAGCACUAAUGCACCGGAUUCCAUCAGAACUCCGCAGAUCAGCGUGCUUGGGCGAGAGUAGUACUAGGAUGGGUGACCUCCCGGGAAGUCCUCGUGUUGCACCCC